rnacentral:rRNA from 1 species
UACGAAGGGGGCUAGCGUUGCUCGGAAUUACUGGGCGUAAAGGGCGCGUAGGCGGAUAUUUAAGUCAGGGGUGAAAGCCCGGGGCUCAACCUCGGAAUUGCCUUUGAUACUGGAUAUCUUGAGUUCGGGAGAGGUGAGUGGAAUGCCGAGUGUAGAGGUGAAAUUCGUAGAUAUUCGCAAGAACACCAGUGGCGAAGGCGGCUCACUGGCCCGAUACUGACGCUGAGGCACGAAAGCGUGGGGAGCAAACAGG